rnacentral:lncRNA from 1 species
AACAUGAAUGCAGUACAUGAAGAAAGCCCAAUGACAGAAUGGUCUAAGGUCCGGACGGCGUCCCACAGGUGCAGGACACUGAGACCAGAGCUGGCAGCCGCUCUGCGUCAUGAUGAAAACGCUGGGUUACAGCAAUGACUGUUGGUGCGUGGGUGGUGGAGCAGGUUAGGAGUUUAUCAGAACAGGCAUGGGUCCUGACAUUUGGCUCACGCCUCUGUAAUGCUGUACCAGUACCUGUGGGCUCACGAUAAAUGUAGCUUCAUGUGUUUGGACCAUGUGAAGGUUUGGAUUCAUAAGUGAAAAGGUUCAAUGUCAGACUCUCAAACUGGUUUAUGGAUGUGGAAGAUCAAAUCGUAUAUGGAUCUGAUUGAAGUAUAUCACCUUUAAACUGUGGAGUCAGGAGCUCAGAGGUCAGGGUGGGAAGUGUGUCAUCAUAGUUUAAGUCCGCUGGGAUCAGAUGGAGGCAGCAGACGUCCACACAUCUGCUCCUUUACCUACUAGAUGGAUUGGGUGAAAGGGGCUGUAAAUGCUGACUGACACUGCUGGCAGCAGCCUCCAGCGCCCUGUAGGUGGCGCACUGCAGGCUUUGUGUCUGGGCUUUAGGUGUGACAGCAGCGCCAUCGUGUGACUUUUAUCCCAAACAGACUCUGGUUCCCUGUGUUCAUCAGAGCAGAAGUGUAUGGACAGUUAACCCUACUCAACCCUUAUGAUGGAACACAUUCAAGCACUGCUCUUUGAACAAGGCUGUGACUGGACCCACAAAGCUACGUCGAUACCAGUGAUGUCAGAUGAUACGGAUUCUCACAUACAUGUACGUAACGAUGGGGAAGGACCUUUUCUUUUGGGAUGCCAUUGGUUGGAUAUUAAUAAUCAUGAACUUCAGUUUGGCAUCGGGUGUAUGCUUAUUACAUCUCUCUGUAAAAUUAAAGACAGACACAGAAUUGGUCCAUUCAACAGGAGCAUCAUCAGGUGUCGUUCCCAGCACAGGAUGAUAAAACCAUUAUAAACCAUAAUAAUAAGGGCGAAGCAGCUCUAGUGUCACCGUAAGCGAGUACGAAACAUCAGUUUGGGGAAAGUGAACUAUUUAAUUUACUUUGAAUGAAAAUGCUAAUUAUUUGUAGUUAUUUGUGUAAAAUUCAUUUCCUUUUCUUAAUGUGUACGUCUCGUCCCAUCAGACAUUACAGUUUUUAUUAGUCGCUUUGACCUGUUUUGCAUAACUAGGUUCCACUUAUUUUCAUCUUCACCAUUCCAGCAGAGCAUAAGACACAUGAAGCAUAUUGUUCGCCCCUCCGGCCUGCUGGGGGCGCUUUAGGUUUCAGUCCUGUGUGCUUGAUGUCUCCUCUUAGUUGUUUCCUGUCUUGUAAUUGGUGUCAUUAUUUCCACCUGCAUAUUUAGUACUUCAGUUCCUGGUUUGAGUUCAGUCUUGUUGGUUCGUUGAGGACGUUACCUCUGUUUGGUGUUGCCAUCUUGUGCCCGUCCUGUCUCCAGUCAAGGUUUGUCUGGUCCCUGUGUUGUCCUCGUGUUUGUUGCAUGUUUUUAGUUUUGAGUUAUUAGUUUGUUUCUCCUUUGAGUUGUCUUCCUGCUUGUCUUUAUUUAUUAUUAAAUUAUUUGUAUCUGAUUCUUGUCCCUGGGUCAGUGCAUUGAUAUUGCACAGGAUAAAAGAUUGUCCAAACAUUUAGAUUAUGACUACAGUAUAAGGUGAGAUUAGUUAACAAUUAUCAGUGAUUCACUGGGAGCAGCUUAGGUUGUAAAGUCCUACAGCAGCAGGUAGAAACGACCUCCGGCGUUGCUCCUUCAGGCACUUAGGAUGUAUCAGUCUGUCACUGAAGGAGCUACAUAGUGAUGACACCGUUUCAUACAGGG